UCUUUUGCAAGUUGUCUUUAUGCCUUUUGCAUAAGAUCUCAGUUUAAUCCUAUAUCAUUUGUCAUCUGCCUUUCACAAAUACAUGAUGGUUUUACCUGCGUGGAAUCCUGCCGGGAUAUUUCAAUUAUCGAUACAUGUCAAAACUUAUUAGUAGUGACAAAACAAAAAAGAAAAAAGAAAAAAAAAGGAAAAAAAAAAUAGAAAAGUGACAAAAGAGAAAGAAAAAGAUUAAUCAUACAUUACACACAUCGCAUGUUGCAUACAU
rnacentral:lncRNA from 1 species